rnacentral:rRNA from 1 species
AACGAACGCUGGCGGCAUGCCUAACACAUGCAAGUCGAACGAGACCUUCGGGUCUAGUGGCGCACGUGUGCGUAACGCGUGGGAACCUGCCCUUAGGUUCGGAAUAACUCCCCGAAAGGGGUGCUAAUACCGGAUAAUGUCUUCGGACCAAAGAUUUAUCGCCUUUGGAUGGGCCCGCGUUGGAUUAGCUAGUUGGUAGGGUAAAAGCCUACCAAGGCGACGAUCCAUAGCUGGUCUGAGAGGAUGAUCAGCCACACUGGGACUGAGACACGGCCCAGACUGCUACGGGAGGCAGCAGUGGGGAAUAUUAGACAAGGGGCGAAAGCCUGAUCCAGCAAUGCCGCGUGAGUGAUGAAGGCCGUAGGGUUGUAAAGCUCUUUUACCCGGGAUGAUAAUGACAGUACCGGGAGAAUAAGCGCCGGCUAACUCCGUG